UGGGGAAUAUUGCGCAAUGGGCGAAAGCCUGACGCAGCAACGCCGCGUGAGUGAUGAAGGCCUUCGGGUCGUAAAGCUCUGUCGGAGGGAACGAAUGCUCUUGAGGUUAACAGCCUCAGGAGGUGACGGUACCCUCAAAGGAAGCACCGGCUAACUCUGUGCCAGCAGCCGCGGUAAUACAGAGGUGGCAAGCGUUGUUCGGAAUUACUGGGCGUAAAGGGCGCGUAGGCGGCCCUCUAAGUCAGACGUGAAAUCCCCCGGCUUAACCUGGGAACUGCGUCUGAUACUGGAGGGCUUGAGUAUGGGAGAGGGAUGUAGAAUUCCAGGUGUAGCGGUGAAAUGCGUAGAUAUCUGGAGGAAUACCGGUGGCGAAGGCGGCAUCCUGGACCAUUACUGACGCUGAGGCGCGAAAGCUAGGGGAGCAAACGGGAUUAGAUACCCUUGUAGUCCCUGAGCGGGCUGGCAAGGCGCAU
rnacentral:rRNA from 1 species